UAAAACGAUUACCAAUCAUACAUAUAUAGAUAUGUUUUUCUCUUUUGAUUCAGUUUUAAGGGAAGAGAGAGACAAGUACUCUGCCAGUAAAUUUAGAAGUUGCGUAUAAUUAAUUAUUUAGAGCAAGUGUUCUACCACUAAAACAAGAAGUCUCGUUACGAUCAUAUAACUGUAUGGUGCUUAAAAUGUGCAUGAAGAACAUGAAUAUUUAAAAUCAGUUAAACUAUAUAAGACAUAUAGUGAAGUAAUCCAAGCAGUAGAAUAAAUCAAAAUCAUGAAAAUCUAACUGGAGAUAUGCAUGCUUUUCAAAUCUUUCCCAAAUCCAAUCGACAUAACUUUUCAUUUGUUUGAAAUCCUCCUAACAUGGACCAGUGGUGACUGCUUGUCCUCACAUGACGAUCAUCCUCAUCCACAUGCAAGAUCAAGCGAUGGUCCACAGAACAUGAUCUCCAAUCUUAGCAUCGGCCUGUUUCUACUGUUUGAUGAUAGGGCAUUUGGACCAUCCAAUGAUACAUAAACCCUAAUUGAAAGCCAUAUGGGAAAAUUUCCUCUAUAAAUUAUCUUGUAAUUAUUGGUCAUUUAUUAUAAUUGACCACUCUGAAAAAAACCAAAAUUGGUGAUCCUAAUUGGGGAGACAAAGAUUCAGGUACUGGUAGGGACAAUCCAAAAAGACGUAGCUAUCAUUCACAUUUUCGAAACCCAAAAUUUGGACAAUUAAUUAACCUUCUCCUAACUCAAGCAUAAUAGCACUAAAAAAUUCAUUGAAUUUGAUCAAACACUCAACAUGUUUUUUCUUCAUCACAAUUAAUAGAACACAAGAAACAAUGGGAAGAAACCUUACAUUGCACUUUCAAUAGUCUCGGCUAGCGGUUUUGACACUCGUUUUUCAGCUUUCUGCAUUUUUUUAUCCAAAUGUAAAAAAAAAAAUAUCCGUAUAAUAUUUCAUCUUAAGUGCAAAUGGUUAAAAGAAUAGUGUCAAAGUCGAUAUUCAUCUACUGUCAUAAUCAUCUAAGCAUGAUUGCAAAGACAAUGACAAAAAAGGGAAGUGCUCAUCCAAUCAAGUACAAAAAUAGAUUGAUUGGGCGGAUAUAUAUAUAUAGGGUUAAUCUCAGUUUACUAUCUUGAAAUUUUGUGAUUUUCAAUAUUUGGUACAUGAAAUUUUUUUCAUCCCAAAGUCAUACCUCAAGUCUUAAUUUUGGGAUAGUUUCAUACAUUCGUUAAGUUUUUCGUUAUAACUUCUGUUAAUUGAUGACGUGGCACUUACGUGGACAAUAACUGAGCACCAUGUGUCAAUAUGGGCCCACUGCAAUAUUUAAAAAUUAAAAAAAUACAAAAACACAUAAAAAUAAAAAAAUAUUCCCCACCCGUCUUCUACCUCCCCCAACCCCCUCAUUUCCUUCUUCCCUCUGCAACUCGCACCCUCUCCCCCAAAACCAGUUUCCCCCAAGCUCACUCCAACCACCAAAACCAGUCUUCCCCAACCCGCACCCUCCAUUCCUUCUUCCCUCAGAUCUAACCCCGACGAGUCCAUGUGCGACCUCGAGAGCUCCAACCUUCCUUAUUCCUUCUGUAAAAGACGUCCCCGAGAGCUCCAACCCUGACGAGUCCAUGUGCGACCCUAAGCUCGACAAGGUCGUCGAUGACUCCAUGGGCGAGCCGGAGGUCUCCUUUGUCGAAGCCGAUGGCAAGACCAGCUCUGACUAUUACUUCGACUCAUACUCUCACUUCAGUAAAGAGAAAAAAGCUUACUUUAUUCGAUUCUUUGUUUUUUGCUUCUAGGUUUUUGUUUGGAUGGUCUGAAAAAUUAGAUAAUGGGAUUGCAAAAGGGGGGUUUUUAGUUUUCGUGAUUGGGUUUUCGGUGUGUUUUGCAAGUUCCGAACUUGGUUGCAUUUUGUUUUGUUUUGGAACUUGGUUGCAUUUUCUUCGUAUUGUUUACGUUUUGUUUUGGAUCUAAGGGAAGAAGGAAGAGAGGGUGCGGGUUGGCGGAGACUAGUUUUGGUGGUGAAGGAAGGUUGGGAGAAAGGGUGCGGGUUGCAAAGGGAAAGAAUGAAGGUUGGGGGAGAUUGGUUUUGGUGGUUGGAAUGAGCUUGGGGG
rnacentral:lncRNA from 1 species